GGGAUGAACGCUGGCGGCGUGCUUAACACAUGCAAGUCGAACGGUGAAACAGGAGCUUGCUCCUGUGGAUCAGUGGCGAACGGGUGAGUAACACGUGAGAAAUGUGCCCUGGACUCUGGGAUAAGCGUUGGAAACGACGUCUAAUACCGGAUACGCGACGCGAAGGCAUCUUCAGCGUCGGGAAAGAACUUCGGUCCAGGAUCAUCUCGCGGCCUAUCAGCUAGUUGGUGAGGUAACGGCCCACCAAGGCGACGAUCAGUA
rnacentral:rRNA from 1 species